UUUUUAGACCUACCUGGAGGAGCUUGCCAUCAAACCGAUAACCCACGAAAUACCUCACCAGCUUUUGAAAAACCAACAUGUAUACCAUCGUCGUCAGUCUACCUCCUAAGAGAAGUACACCCAACGAACAAUUCCUCACUACGUCAGAUCGAGGUGCAGUUAAUAAGCUGGGGAUAGGUGAGCUACAAUAACUACCUUACAACCCGCAACAAAUUUACUUAUGAACAGUCUAAUGAAAACAAACUUGAAAUAGGAUUCAGUAGUAAUACCUAAAAGAUAAUAGGUAUGAAAACUAGCUCUAAAAUGCGC
rnacentral:rRNA from 1 species